rnacentral:rRNA from 1 species
UAAGACUGGAUAGGAAACAAAAAGGCAUCUUUUUGUUUUCAAAAGACCUUCUUAUGAAGGUAUGCUUAAAGAGGGGCUUGCGCCACAUUAGUUAGUUGGUAGGGUAAAAGCCUACCAAGACGAUGAUGUGUAGCUGGACUGAGAGGUUGAACAGCCACAUUGGGACUGAGACACGGCCCAAACUCCUACGGGAGGCAGCAGUAGGGAAUUUUCGGCAAUGGAGGAAACUCUGACCGAGCAACGCCGCGUGAACGAUGAAGUAUUUCGGUAUGUAAAGUUCUUUUAUUGAAGAAGAAAAAGUAGUGGAAAAACUAUAUUGACGUUAUUCAAUGAAUAAGCCCCGGCUAACUAUGUGCCAGCAGCCGCGGUAAGACAUAGGGGGCGAGCGUUAUCCGGAAUUAUUGGGCGUAAAGGGUGCGUAGGCUGUUAGAUAAGUCUAUAAUUUAAUUUCAGUGCUUAACGCUGUCUUGUUAUAGAAACUGUCUUCACUAGAGUGAGAUAGAGGCAAGCGGAAUUCCAUGUGUAGCGGUAAAAUGUGUAAAUAUAUGGAGGAACACCAGAAGCGUAGGCGGCUUGCUGGGUCUUUACUGACGCUGAGGCACGAAAAGCGUGGGGUAGCAAACAGGAUUAGAUACCCUGGUAGUCCACGCCGUAAACGAUGAGUACUAAGUGUCGGGGUAAAACUCGGUACUGAAGUUAACACAUUAAGUACUCCGCCUGAGUAGUACGUACGCAAGUAUGAAACUUAAAGGAAUUGACGGGACUCCGCACAAGCGGUGGAUCAUGUUGUUUAAUUCGAAGAUACACGAAAAAUCUUACCAGGUCUUGACAUACUCUGCAAAGCUAUAGAAAUAUAGUGGAGGUUAUCAGGGAUACAGGUGGUGCAUGGUUGUCGUCAGUUCGUGUCGUGAGAUGUUAGGUUAAGUCCUAAAACGAGCGCAACCCUUGUCGUUAAUUGCCAGCACGUAAUGGUGGGGACUUUAGCGAGACUGCCAAUUAAACAUUGGAGGAAGGUGAGGAUUACGUCAAAUCAUCAUGCCCCUUAUGAUCUGGGCUACAAACGUGAUACAAUGGCUGUGACAAAGAGUAGCUGAAUCGCGAGUUUUAAGCCAAUCUCAAAAAAGCAGUCUCAGUUCGGAUUGAAGUCUGUAACUCGACUUCAUGAAGUUGGAAUCGCUAGUAAUCGCGAAUCAGCAUGUCGCGGUGAAUACGUUCUCGGGGUUUGUACACACCGCCCGU